UUGCGGUUAAAAAGCUCGUAGUUGGAUUUCUGUCGAAGACUGCCGGUCCGCUCUAUGAGCGUGUAUCUGGUUAGGCUUUGGCAUCCUCUUGAAGAACGUUGCUGUGCUUAAUUGCAUGGUGCGGAAUUCAAGACUUUUACUUUGAGGAAAUUAGAGUGUUCACGGCAGGCAAGCGCCUUGAAUACAUUAGCAUGGAAUAAUAAUAUAGGAUCGCGAUUCUAUUUUGUUGGUUUCUAGAGUCACGAUAAUGAUUAAUAGGGAUAAUUGGGGGCAUUUGUAUUAACGCGUCAGAGGUGGAAUUCUUGGAUUGCGUUACGACAAACUACUGCGAAAGCAUUUGCCAAGGAUGUUUUCAUUGAUCAAGAACGAAAGUAUGGGGAUCGAAGAUGAUUAGAUACCGUCGUGGUCUAUACCAUAAACUAUGCCAACUAGAGAUUGGAGGU
rnacentral:rRNA from 1 species